CAGAGUAGAGAGUCUUGCGUUAAGUGCCGCGGGAACGGAGAGUUGUCCCGAGGACGAAAAGCGCAAAAGCCGCUUCAGGCGGCUUUGAGUGCUUGCGGUAAGGCUCUCGCAUCUCGCUG
rnacentral:ncRNA from 1 species